GAAUUGCCCAGGAUAACCCGAAAAAUCAUAUAAAGUGACUUAUUUCCACUAGGAGAUUCCUCUUCACUGUCCCCUCAAGGGAGGUUCCUUGAUGCUGGUGAGAGGCUCUUGAUCUAGGGAAUUGGAUCUGUGCUCCAGUUCCCUGAAUUGAUCCUGAAUACCUUCCAUCCCCGCCACAUGCGCUGUAUAACCCUAUGGGUUUAGCGCUUCCCUGUGAUUAAAAUAAAAAAAUCCUCUUCACUGUUCCUUUAUCACUCCAAUGGAAAUAAGUCACUUUAUCUGACUUUUUUUUAGUUAUCCUAAGUAAUUUACACAUAUUGCAGUGUAUGAUUAUUUAUGUAACUAAUUAUGUGUACCUGUACCUAAAUAAACUCACUUCUUGCCAGUACAGCAGCAGGAGACUGAACCAGUCAGUGACCAUUAAGAGGCACCUAAGUACCCCAGUCUUCCAUUAGUUAGGUUAGGUAGGGUUCGUCAGGAAACAGGACAAAUGUUUCCUGACGCGGGUCUUAGUCAGAUGAUGACCCGCCUUUGGAGCUUUUGGUCAUCUGACCGAGGCCUUCCACUGGCUUACCGGUCCACCCCUUUAAAAAUUAUUGUCAUUUAUAACCAUUGUUAUAUGACUUCAGCAAUUUUAGUCUUCCAUUAACAAGUUCAUUUUCCCACUAUAAUCUACCUUGUCCAUAAUUACUAUCAUGGUAUAAUUAAAUAUUUAAUGACAGUUGUGUUGUAGAUGUGUGAACUUUGCUCACACCUCUACAACACAAUUGUCAUCAAAUAUUUAAGUUAUACCAUGAAUUAAGGAAAGAUUUUAGACUUCACUUAAUAAAACAAAGCAAAUGUGAUAUUAAUUAUGGACAAGGUUAGAUUUUAGUGGAAAAAUGAAAAUGUCAUUAGACGGUGGAACUUGGUGCCCCUUAAGACCCCUAACAAGACCAUCAGAUUGAUGGACUAAUUACAUCGACUCAAGGCUGAGGGACUGAUUACGUCAUACUCCUCCUGUUCUUCACGAUUCUCCUUUGUAUAGACUGAUGAAGCCACUGUGUGGUGAAACGUUUCCUCAUUAAAGCAUGUUUGUAAGGAUUCCGUCAAUAGGACUACAGAUGAAAUGAAGGAGUUAAUUAAUAGAAGGGACCCCAGCGUUAACCACAGAUAGCACUUAAGAUUGCUCAGAGCAGGCAGAUUAACCUUUCCACUUGCAACAUAAUUGGAAGUAAGUUUUGUAGUACAGUACUGUAAUUCAUGCAGACUCUUCAGUAUGUGUGAUUAAAAAUCUUACAGGGUUCAUCCUUGGAAGGAAAGGGAAGGCUUGUGGUGGAAGCUAUUAGCCUAAAUUAAUUUGGGAUGAGCCAUAUUUUCUGUAAAGGUGAUAUCUCUAAAUUUGUUUUGUCCCCAGUAUUGUCCCUUAGAGCCUGUAUCUGUCAAUUUCUUCCAUAAAUGAUAGGUAUAAUAAUUAAUUUGUCAAGAAUAGCUAAUAUUUAUUAAUGUUAAAUGACAGUGUAGGUUCUGAAGACAUGAAUAAGCACACACCCAGCUUGCUGUAUAUAGCACAGUUUUGACUGAUUGUUCUGAUCUGCAGUAAACACAAGGGUACUCUUGAGUAUCUCUUGGAGUUUAGAAAGAGUUGCAGUAGAGGUCGCAGAAUGUAUGUGGUCAUCAUAAUCUAGCUUCGAUAAAAUUAGGGCUGAAUGCAGCCAAAGGAGGGUUUGACGAUCUGCCCCCCAUGAAAGAUGAGCGAGGGUUUUAAGGAGGUUCAGCCGGCUAUGGCAAGUUCCUUUCAGGGAGGCAAUGUGAGACAGUACAAUAAACUUAUCAUAAUCUGACCUUACACAGUAUGCCUUUGACUUAAUGCCAUUUGUAAAAUUGCACUAUUCUUUUCAUAACAUUAGGAAGCUCUUACUAUUACACACCAUAAAUAUAAGAAUAAAUGUAACAUGCAAAACCUGGGCCACAAGUGGUACCCUCCACAGUCCUUAGAGCCUCCCAUCGAGCAAUAGAAAAUCACUAGACAGCACAUUUCUUACCUAAUGAACCUUUUCAAAAAUCAGUAUAGCUCACGAAUAUCUAGUUUAUAUAAAUCACUUGUGUCCAA